GGAAAUGUGGCUUAGUGGUAGAGUACUUGCCUAGAAUUCAUGAAGGCCUGGGUUCAAUUCCUCAGUACCA
rnacentral:tRNA from 1 species